AUGCAAGUCGAGCGAGAUUUUUCGUUGUAGCAAUACGAUGGAAAGUCUAGCGGCGAACGGGUGCUUAACACGUGGGCAACCUGCCAUGAAGUGGGGGAUAGCUCGCCGAAAGGCGAAUUAAUACCGCAUGUAAUUAGAGAGGACAUCCUUUCGAAAUUAAAGUCGGGGCAACCUGACGCUUCUUGUGGGGCCCGCGGCCUAUCAGCUAGUUGGUGAGGUAACGGCUCACCAAGGCUUUGACGGGUAGCUGGUCUGAGAGGACGACCAGCCACACUGGGACUGAGACACGGCCCAGACACCUACGGGUGGCAGCAGUCGAGAAUUUUUGACAAUGGGGGAAACCCUGAUCGAGCGACGCCGCGUGGAGGAUGAAGGUCUUCGGAUUGUAAACUCCUGUCAUUUGGGAACAAGGUGCACACGUUAACUGCGUGUGCAUUGAUAGUACCAGAAGAGGAAGAGACGGCUAACUCUGUGCCAGCAGCCGCGGUAAUACAGAGGUCUCAAGCGUUGUUCGGAUUCAUUGGGCGUAAAGGGUGCGUAGGCGGCGCGGUAAGUCGGGUGUGAAAUCUCGGAGCUUAACUCCGAAACUGCAUUCGAUACUGCCGUGCUUGAGGACUGGAGAGGAGACUGGAAUUUACGGUGUAGCGGUGAA
rnacentral:rRNA from 1 species